rnacentral:rRNA from 1 species
GUGUCAGCAGCCGCGGUAAAACGUAGGAGACAAACGUUAUCCGGAGUUACUGGGCGUAAAGGGCGUGCAGGUGGUCUGUUAAGUCUGGCGUGAAAGCUCUCGGCUAAACCGGGAGAGGUCGUUGGAUACUGGCGGACUAGAGGACGGUAGAGGCGAGUGGAAUUCCGGGUGUAGUGGUGAAAUGCGUAGAGAUCCGGAGGAACACCAGUGGCGAAGGCGACUCGCUGGGCCGUACCUGACACUCAAACGCGACAGCAUGGGGAGCGAACGGGAUUAGAUACCCCGGUAGUCC